GAAGCAGUUCAUCACCUAGGAACUGGUUGACAGAAGGGUAUGGAAGCGCAAAUCUGCAUCUUAACUGUGAGGGAAUCUUUGGCUUCUGACACCUUUGCUGGGUGCCCAACUCAGCUCAGCCACAGCCUGGUCCCAGGGUCCUCUCCUCUCCUGAGAGUCCAUCCCAUGAGCAUGUCCUCACGCACCUACACUCUGCUCUCUUCCUCAUAGUCAGAUACACAAAGGACAUAGUGAUGGGUGAUCCUAUUUGACCACAGAAUACCAAGAAAUCUGGCAGAGCGUCAUUUACUUCCCACACUUCUGCUGACAGGGAGACAUGGCCGGUCUGGUAUUUGAUGACUACGCGGAAGGGUCUCUCCAGAGUCGGGUGGUGCAGAAUUAGGAGAAAGAAGCUGCUUUCUACAGAAACACCCGAUCUGCCCCGUCCUGUAUGGGACGAAAACUCAGAGGAAAGGAAAUUCACUUUGUUUUACAUCAGAAGUAGUCUCUUCCUGCCUGUGGAUGUCAGACCUUCUGGCUCUUGUUUUGGGCUUCAUGACUCACACCAAUCAACACCUGAAUCCCAAGGUCUGUGCUUUUCUGACUGCUUUCUUGUCCUGAGGUGUUAGGACUUGAACUAAGCCUUGCUGUUACAGAAUCUUCUUAACCCCGUGUGAAAUGUGGCAGUGCUUGUCCCCUCAGAAAUCAGACCAUGGAUCUCAUUAGAUAACCAAAUUUCCACUGGCCUUGACUUUGGGCUCCUGGCUAGCCUCUGGAAUUGUAUUGGGGGAGGGGGGAAUCUAUUCUUUGCAAAUAAAUCACCAAAACUUGG
rnacentral:lncRNA from 1 species